CAUUCAUUCACGUGUUGACGCUUCCACAAUGAAGGCGACUAUACUUAUAUUUGUGGUGUGCUGCGCGAUCGCACACGCGCGAUAUAUAGAUUCUGAAUCCAGUGCGAUUCUCCCCGUGGACCGUGACAUUAGUGCCAGUGAGCCACUGUCGAGUGCUGUGAGAGUUAGGAGACAAAUAAUAAACAGUGGAAGCAAAGGUUGUGCAAAAGGUUUUAUAAAGUACAAGAUGAUCUGUAUUCGAUUAUAACAUACAAUGAAGAAUGAAAUAUUCACAUCUAGUCAAUUUAUUUAUUAUAACGACGCACGGUGAUCAACGAAAUAAGUAUUAUUAUUUAUUACCUCUUAGUUUCUUAAUUAUAAUUAUAGUAACUUCUUUUAUGCGCAUGUCGAAUAAACGAUUCAUAGGUGAUAAUAUA